GAUGAACGCUGGCGGCGUGCCUAAUACAUGCAAGUCGAGCGAACGGACGAGAAGCUUGCUUCUCUGAUGUUAGCGGCGGGCGGGUGAGUAACACGUGGAUAACCUACCUAUAAGACUGGGAUAACUUCGGGAAACCGGAGCUAAUACCGGAUAAUAUUUUGAACCGCAUGGUUCAAAAGUGAAAGACGGUCUUGCUGUCACUUAUAGAUGGAUCCGCGCUGCAUUAGCUAGUUGGUAAGGUAACGGCUUACCAAGGCAACGAUGCAUAGCCGACCUGAGAGGGUGAUCGGCCACACUGGAACUGAGACACGGUCCAGACUCCUACGGGAGGCAGCAGUAGGGAAUCUUCCGCAAUGGGCGAAAGCCUGACGGAGCAACGCCGCGUGAGUGAUGAAGGUCUUCGGAUCGUAAAACUCUGUUAUUAGGGAAGAACAUAUGUGUAAGUAACUGUGCACAUCUUGACGGUACCUAAUCAGAAAGCCACGGCUAACUACGUGCCAGCAGCCGCGGUAAUACGUAGGUGGCAAGCGUUAUCCGGAAUUAUUGGGCGUAAAGCGCGCGUAGGCGGUUUUUUAAGUCUGAUGUGAAAGCCCACGGCUCAACCGUGGAGGGUCAUUGGAAACUGGAAAACUUGAGUGCAGAAGAGGAAAGUGGAAUUCCAUGUGUAGCGGUGAAAUGCGCAGAGAUAUGGAGGAACACCAGUGGCGAAGGCGACUUUCUGGUCUGUAACUGACGCUGAUGUGCGAAAGCGUGGGGAUCAAACAGGAUUAGAUACCCUGGUAGUCCACGCCGUAAACGAUGAGUGCUAAGUGUUAGGGGGUUUCCGCCCCUUAGUGCUGCAGCUAACGCAUUAAGCACUCCGCCUGGGGAGUACGACCGCAAGGUUGAAACUCAAAGGAAUUGACGGGGACCCGCACAAGCGGUGGAGCAUGUGGUUUAAUUCGAAGCAACGCGAAGAACCUUACCAAAUCUUGACAUCCUUUGACAACUCUAGAGAUAGAGCCUUCCCCUUCGGGGGACAAAGUGACAGGUGGUGCAUGGUUGUCGUCAGCUCGUGUCGUGAGAUGUUGGGUUAAGUCCCGCAACGAGCGCAACCCUUAAGCUUAGUUGCCAUCAUUAAGUUGGGCACUCUAAGUUGACUGCCGGUGACAAACCGGAGGAAGGUGGGGAUGACGUCAAAUCAUCAUGCCCCUUAUGAUUUGGGCUACACACGUGCUACAAUGGACAAUACAAAGGGCAGCGAAACCGCGAGGUCAAGCAAAUCCCAUAAAGUUGUUCUCAGUUCGAAUUGUAGUCUGCAACUCGACUACAUGAAGCUGGAAUCGCUAGUAAUCGUAGAUCAGCAUGCUACGGUGAAUACGUUCCCGGGUCU
rnacentral:rRNA from 1 species